AUUAAGCCAUGCAUGUCUCAGUGCAAGCCAAAUUAAGGUGAAACCGCGAAUGGCUCAUUAAAUCAGUUAUGGUUCCUUAGAUCGUACCACUUUACUUGGAUAACUGUGGUAAUUCUAGAGCUAAUACAUGCAAACAGAGUCCCGACCAGAAGUGGAAGGGACGCUUUUAUUAGAUCAAAAUCAAUCGGUCGGCUCGUCCGGUCCGUUUGCCUUGGUGACUCUGAAUAACUUUGGGCUGAUCGCACGGUCCUCGUACCGGCGACGCAUCUUUCAAAUGUCUGCCUUAUCAACUGUCGAUGGUAGGUUCUGCGCCUACCAUGGUUGUAACGGGUAACGGGGAAUCAGGGUUCGAUUCCGGAGAGGGAGCCUGAGAAACGGCUACCACAUCCAAGGAAGGCAGCAGGCGCGCAAAUUACCCACUCCCGGCACGGGGAGGUAGUGACGAAAAAUAACGAUACGGGACUCAUCCGAGGCCCCGUAAUCGGAAUGAGUACACUUUAAAUCCUUUAACGAGUAUCCAUUGGAGGGCAAGUCUGGUGCCAGCAGCCGCGGUAAUUCCAGCUCCAAUAGCGUAUAUUAAAGUUGUUGCGGUUAAAAAGCUCGUAGUUGGAUUUGUGUCCCACGCUGUCGGUUCAUCGCUCGUCGGUGUCUAACUGGCAUGGUUCGUGGGACGUCCUGCCGGUGGUGGCGAGCCGAAAGCGUGCGGCCGCCGUGGUUAGCCCACGUGCGGUUCCUGCGCGCCGUAGGCGGACCCCGAUGAAAUCCUACCGCGGUGCUCUUCAUCGAGUGUCGAGGUGGGCCGGCACGUUUACUUUGAACAAAUUAGAGUGCUUAAAGCAGGCCGGCUGCGCCUGAAUACUGUGUGCAUGGAAUAAUGGAAUAGGACCUCGGUUCUAUUUUGUUGGUUUUCGGAACCCGAGGUAAUGAUUAAUAGGGACAGGCGGGGGCAUUCGUAUUGCGACGUUAGAGGUGAAAU
rnacentral:rRNA from 1 species